rnacentral:tRNA from 1 species
GCGCCUGUAGCUCAAUUGGAUAGAGCAGCGGUCUUCUAAACCGCAGGUUGGGAGUUCGAUCCUCCCCAGGCGCA